UACGGAGGGUGCAAGCGUUAAUCGGAAUUACUGGGCGUAAAGCGUGCGCAGGCGGUGAUGUAAGACCGAUGUGAAAUCCCCGGGCUUAACCUGGGAACUGCAUUGGUGACUGCAUUGCUGGAGUAUGGCAGAGGGGGGUGGAAUUCCACGUGUAGCAGUGAAAUGCGUAGAGAUGUGGAGGAACACCGAUGGCGAAGGCAGCCCCCUGGGCCAAUACUGACGUCAUGCACGAAAAGCGUGGGGGAGC
rnacentral:rRNA from 1 species